rnacentral:rRNA from 1 species
AGAGUUUGAUCCUGGCUCAGGAUGAACGCUGGCGGCGUGCCUAAUACAUGCAAGUCGAGCGAACCUCUUCGGAGGUUAGCGGCGGACGGGUGAGUAACACGUGGGCAACCUACCUUGUAGAUGGGGAUAACAUCGAGAAAUCGGUGCUAAUACCGAAUAAUACUUAGCUCCACAUGGAGAGAAGUUGAAAGUUGGCUUUU